GACCCCCUGCAAUCUUCCUCUGCUGACUUCAGACUAAGGCUAUGCACAAGGAAUCUAGGAAAUCCUGCACAGGCUAACCAGAGAUUGAACAAUCUCUCCUUACCCAUUGCAGGGGCUGUAAGUCACACAGCCAUAGAAAGCAGCGAUGACAAAAGCUUGCUGGAUCCUCAAAUCCAUCUUCCUGCUAAUGCUGGCCACCUGUUCCCUAGCAGGACUCUUCCAUGAAGAUUGGCCAAUGAAGUGCUGCCAGUUAGGAUUAUUAUUGAAUACAUGGUGUGGCACAAACAUAGAGGAAGACAGAGUUUGCUCCAUGGACCUCCAGUCUAAGGGCCUGAUCCCACUCAGUGGGAGCAGAGCGGGGACCCCUCUUACCACUGUCAAUACCUGCACAGCCAUGAUGCUGGUGCUGAAUGGCUAAACUUUAAGCACUUAUUUUUCUUGUUUUAAAACACAAUGGAAUGCCUGUACAUAGACUCUGUUUUUCUAUUGGCUGGCACCAGUGUUGCCUGGGUGACGGCUGUGUGCAAACACUCUUUUAAGGAACCCAGAGAGCCAGCUGCUUAAUGAGCCCUGGGAAUCUGCAGGCUACAGGGGAUAGAGCAGAUCCCAGCACUAAGGAAAAACCUGUAAAGUGCAUUCAGACAGCUGGUGAUAAUGGAUGUGGGAGAUGAAGAUGCUAUCAAGGAAAAAGCGCACAUUUUAAUUGAGGAUGUAAUCAGGGAUGCAAAAGAGCAUCUGCGAGAUUUGCAAGAAAAAGAGAGAGAAGCUGAGUACAUCAUCCAAAACAUUCAAUGGACCUCAUGCAAGGACUUUACAGUGGAGAGGGGACAGCAGCAAAUUGAGGAAUACAUGUCAUCAUCUGUACUAGAGUGUGGAAGUCUUACAGUGUGGUGUAUGUUCAGCAGACGUGGGAGUUUCAUGAGAGCUGGCUUCACUGGUCAGACUACCUCCAGGAAGAAGAACUGAAGUACAGCAGGAGGUACCAUUACCGGGUUCGCUGGAGCAUCCCAACAUGUAGGAAGCCCAUUCCACGAGCAACAGCAUGCAUCUAUUUCAUCAUCGAGAUCUCCAAAAUUAAACCACCUACCUUGCCGGUUGAGGUAUUCUUCAUUUUGGAGUCAAAUAGGCUCAUUCACAGGUAUAUUUUGUUCUGUAGCUUUUUUUUAAAGCAACGAACCAGUGUAGAGGGGCCCUAGCAACUGUGCAUAAAACAUGGUUAAUUUC